rnacentral:rRNA from 1 species
AUGGUCAGUUUCAAUGCCCUGCGAUGUGCAAAAGUUGUAUUGGAGGGCAUGGCACCUGAGCUCUAUGGGAUGCACGCCAAUCCCAACUGCAUAAACAAAUUUGGAUACUUUGCGCUCCACGAAGCUGCUGAAAGGUUCUCUGUGGACAUGAUCAAGCUGCUUUUACGCCAUGGUGCAUCGCCCAAUGUGCGCACAGUUCGCAAUGAUGUCAUUUUUGAUGUCAUUGAGAAUCUACUCCCGCUCCAUGUCACAGUUGAGAAUACUUGUCUCCAUAAGUAUCUGGAGGACAAUCUGGAGGACAAUCUGGAGGACAAUCUGUUGUGUCUACCUGAGAUGAAGGUCUUCUUGGACACAACUAGACUGCUUGCAGAAAAAACAAAUAAUGUACUUCAAGAGCUCUGGAAUUACAUUGAGGAUGGAAAAAUUAUCCAGUCUGUUGUUCUACUACUGGCUGCUCAAGAGCAGAUCCGUGGGGGCAGUUCUUCCAAGAUAAAUGGCAGUAGUAAGAAAAAUGGGUUUGACAUUAUCAAUAAAUGUAUAAUGAGGCGUUCAUUUGCCUUGAGAUGGGAGAAAGGUUCACAUGCAACGGCACCGGAGCUUCUGGAGGAAAGGAAGACACUUACUGAUUGCGCAUGGCUGCUUGUUGAUGUAAUUUCCCAUGCCGGUGAAGAUCUUUCUGCAUACAUUCAAACGCAUUCUGAGGUGCCCCAUGUGGAGGUCUUUCAACAUGUUUCACGUAUCCUCAAGGAGUAUGGAUUUUGCCCUAAUGGAGAUCCCAUGGACACUAUAAACCUCCAGCCUUAUGACUGCAGAAAGUCAAACGGAGAGUCAUGCAAAGGGCUUACAGAUGCAAACAUGGCAGUUAUGGAAUCGGCCAAUCUGGAUGCUGCAGAGAAAAAGGUCACAACUGUUGAAAAUGACGGUCUCUCCCUUAUGGCACGGCAACACACCAAACAAACAAAGGCUGUGAGAAAGAAAGUAGGCCGAGGAUGGGAUCCCACAUACACAAGGAGAAGUUUUUUUCCACAUUGGAGGUCAGUGUUACAAGCCCGGCUUCCUUUGAAGGUGUAUCCAGCCUAUGCAAGCUCAGAUCCUAGUCCAAAUCAUAAACUUGGUCCAAUGCCAAGGACCUCGCCAUUUACAAGCAACAAUCAACCCGGAAGGAGCUUUGUCACUGCUGCUAUUGGUGCAUUCAGGCUCUUGAAGGUGCUAAAGUAG